UUAAAUCCCCAAAUUCCCAAUACGUGCACGUUGAAGAAGGUAUCCUAAGGUCCGAUCACAGGUUUAGGAAUCGUUCACGAUUUUACGGUUAACGCUUACCCGCAAACUUUGCAUUAUUGAAUCGGAAUAUCCGGGGCUCCGAUUCAUAAUCCGUGAAGUCCUAUACGGUCCUAGGAAAAUCUAGAACAACAUAUUUUAAUUCGGAAAGGAUCUAAUGCACAAUAUGCGAAAAUCCGUUCGAUAGUC
rnacentral:lncRNA from 1 species